rnacentral:lncRNA from 1 species
AUGUGUCAUAUCAAUGUUGUAUAUAUCAACUCACCAGGGUAUCUGUUUUCAAAAGAGUAAAUAUUGAAGUAUAUUUUAUAAUUUGACUAUCAGGUGAGAAAUAGACAAUGUAUGCAUGUCAUAAAAAGUAUCACGGAAAAGAAGUUAUUUCUUUUUACAAUGCAUAAACUUUCUACAAUGAAAGGAUACUAGUAACACCAGAUCCUGAAUAGUUUUACCUUUAAAAGUUGACGUAUCUGAGUUAAGUAAUAUUAAAUUCAAUUAUGACAAUUAUGUCAUUUCAUAUGCAAGUAGAAACAUUAGUAGUGAAUUGAUGUAUUUUAUGACCAAUCAUUGGAGCUCCGCACACCAUUGUUACUCUCUUUGAUCCUUAAAAAAACUGCUAUCCCAUUAUUUUCCAUGGUAAUCAAUACAAAUGAUAUUCUGUACAUUUGUGAGAAAACAAAAUCUGCCAGCAAUCACCCACACCCCUAAAUAGGAAUUAUGUAUCUAACAUAUUGACUAUUUGUAUCAUUUUAGGUAUGUACAAUGCCCCCUGUUACUACUACCCUAACAGAGCCGGAGCAGCUGGCAGGGCAUCGUUUAUUGUAGCUGUGGAACUAAAGAGUGGAGAAAAGAAUGCUGAUCACUGGGUUAAAAGAGGAACAGCUCUAUUGAUGAGUUUGGACUAUUAAUUCCUUAAUGAAGACAGAAGGAACAAAAGAAAACAUACUGACUUGUUGAUAAUGUCUUACCUUUUAUGAUUUGACAAUAAGAAUAUGCAUUUAACUUUGUGAUUUGUUUUACUGUUUUUUUGUCCAGUUGUAAGAAUUUAUUAUAGUUGGAAAGUAUAAAUUAUAUUGGCAUUGAAGUGCUGUGUCUGAUGUUAAUAUGAAAACUCCUACUUUAUUUGUCGUGUGCUUUCAGAUUAUUAUAGCAAGAAGAAUAUUCUUUACUCUGUUGAUUUAAUGAAACAAUUUAAGAAGAAACAAAAUUAAAUUCACACACAUUGCCUAUCUUAUCUAUUGUAUUUCAAAAUAAUCAUAUUUAAGAAAAAAAAACACUGAGCUUUUUGUUUAAUACUUAAGUGUCAAUGCUGCAUAACAAUAUGUUUUUAAAACAGUAAAUAUUGAUGAAGUAAAUAUGAGAUUAAUUUCAGAACAUUGGUUAAAUUUUCCACAAAAUGAAAGAGUGUACAAUUUACCAAUCAUCAUGUUGUUUGAACUAACUCCUAUAUUUUGCUGUUAAAUUUGAAUUUUUAUUUUAACUCUGUUAAAGGUUAAUAAAAGUUAUUUAAAAAGGAGCAUAAAAUAUCAUAGAAAAACAAUUAUCUAUAAAUAAUCUACACUUUUUUAUCCUGCUAUUGAGGUUUCAAAAUUGACACCUAGGCUAUGUAUGGCUAAAGAAGUAUUAGAAUCCUUGAAUUUAUAUACUUAGAAUUAAACAAAUAACAAGAUAUAUCCUUUCUCUUCCUAGGAACAUAUUGAUUAUUAUUGUUAACCGAAAAAGUCAUUAACUGUGAUAUUUUUUCCCAAUUAGGUACAAGUAAAUCAUUCCGUCCAAUAUAAGAUAUUUAUUAUUUUUUCCCUAUUAGGUACAAGUAAAUCAUUCCGUCCAAUAUCUAAAAAUACAGUAUAUUAUUAUUCGUUUAUAUUAUUUUAAAUCCAAAACUACCGGAUUAUGUUUUUUUUAUUUAGAAAAAAAUGUUGUUAUUAAUUUAUAUUGUUGGGUUUAUUAAACAAAUUUGAGAACAGAUAUAACAUUGAACUUAAUUAGAUUUUUCUUGUUGUUUAUUAUUUUUACAUACAAGUGUGUAUAGAACAUAUUGUGACCUGCAAAUUAUUAUACAGUUAACUUAAAUUGGUGCAUUUGAAACCAGUUUACCAGAAAGGAGGCAAUUAAACCCAAUUACUCUGAAAGGUACAAUUAUAACCAGUUGAACAGAAAUAGCACAAUUAAAACAAGUGUCCAGAAGAGCUUUAAUGAAACCAGUUAACCAGUAAAAGUACAAAUAAAAUAAGUAUCCAGAAAAUCUUCAAUGAAACCAGUAAGCCAGAAAAAGUACAAUUAAACAAGUAUCAAGAAAAGCUUCAAUGAAACCAGAAAGCCAGAAAAAAGUACAAUUAAAACAAAAAUCCAGUAAAGCUUUAAAGAAACCAGUUAACCAAAAAUAGUACAAUUAAAACAAGUAUCAAGAAAGCUUCAAUAAAACCAUAAUACCAGUAAUAGUACAAUUUAAACAAGUAUCAAGAAAAGCUUCAAUGAAACCAGUAAACCAGAAAAAGUACAAUUAAAACAAUUAUCUAGAAAAGCUGCAAUGAAACCAGUUACAUAGAAAUAGAACCAUUUAAACAAGUAUCCAGAAAAUCUUCAAUGAAGCCAGUAAACCAGA